rnacentral:rRNA from 1 species
UACGUAGGGGGCAAGCGUUGUCCGGAUUUAUUGGGCGUAAAGAGCUCGUAGGCGGCUCAGUAAGUCAGGUGUGAAACCUCCAGGCUCAACCUGGAGACGCCACCUGAUACUGCUGUGGCUUGAGUCCGGUAGGGGAGUGUGGAAUUCCUGGUGUAGCGGUGAAAUGCGCAGAUAUCAGGAGGAACACCAGCGGCGAAGGCGGCACUCUGGGCCGGUACUGACGCUGAGGAGCGAAAGCGUGGGUAGCAAACAGG